GGGUGGGGAGGUGUUAGAGGCAUCUUCACAGCAGCACAGUGCCCAGAAUGCCAAAGAGCAGCAGGAUUGAUCCAGCAUCCUCUCCUGAUAAAAGAGGGCUAGAAGACCGGAGGCUCCAGGGAGUCUACUGGAGUCAUGAAGACACUGAAAAGUGAUGAAUCCACAUAACCAUGACACUGGAAAUGAAGUUUGAGUGGCAGUCGGAAUCUGGGAGGAAGCAUUGCUAAGUGAAAAUCUUACGGAGCUUGACUAAAUAUCCCUGUCAGGAACCGUCAAAAGCUGUGUCCCUGACAUGAAAAAUCUUGCUGGAAGUUGAGAGAGGUUUAUGCCUACUCCGUGAUCCGGGAACACAAGACCUUUACCAACCAAAAAAGUGGAUAGCUGUUCUUCUGCUGUGAAGGUUAAUAAAGGUAAACAUUAUAAUGGCCAGGGCUGGGGUUGAGGGAGAAAGAAGGAAGAAGAAAAGAAAGAAAGAGACAAAGGUAAUAAUAUUAGUAAAGGUA
rnacentral:lncRNA from 1 species